rnacentral:misc_RNA from 1 species
CUGCACGCCAUCGUCGACCAGUGUGUCGGUAAUGGCAUCAAGCGAAAUGCCGCUUUUCGCAAGGUCUGCCAGAACACGCUCGGCGUCAGGAAUGUUCUGCUCAAGGCUGUCGCGCGGCUUGCCGUGAUCGCGGAAGGCAUCGAGGGUCGCGGGCGGCACGGUGUUCACCGUAUCGCGUCCAAUCAGUUCCUCGACAUACAGUACGUCGCUGUAAGCCUUGUUCUUGGUGCCGGUCGAGGCCCAGAGCA